UUCCGAUACGCCUCCUAACCAGUGCAGUUGUUUGCAUCUGCUUACCAGGGCUUAAAUAAGGCCUUCCACAUGCCAAAAUACUGGAAUGGCAUGGACUUUAUUGUAUUUUUAUUUGGUUUUUGAAAGCUUCUUUCAGGGCAGUUUUAAUCCUUCCCCUAUCCCACCCUAUGGAACAGAAGCAAAACACUUGGGAUUUUAAACUGUUGCUCACAUAAAGCAGAGGUAUCUUUCAUCCCUGAGGAGCCUGAGCCGGCUCUUAAUAUCAGGGCUUACUAAUAGUUCUUAGAAAGCACGCAAAAGUGAACUUGCAGGGGGAGAGCAGCUUCUCAUCAGAAGUAAGUUGUGUUGAAAGAUCCAGGUUUUAAAUAAUAUAUACUUCCUUCAAAACAACCUGGGUGGAGGAGUUUAUAUUUUGUUUGUUUUCAGACUGCAGAAAGCCUUCAGGCAACACACUCCUGAAAUUAAAGUCAGACUUAAAUCCAAACAAACUGUUUCUUCUGAUGUGCUGCCCUCAGACUCACAGCAGAAUUUUCCUUCAUCAGGAUUGGAACUUCGGAUGCCCAUCCUGCGAGCAGUUUUCAGUCUGUGAACAAAGUGAAGAGGAGGCCUCUGUUUUUCCCUGACAGAGUCAGCCAUGUGGAGAAUCUGGCGGCUCUACAGAGCACAGCCUGGUGAGUGCAGCCUAAACACUCCAGGCUGUUUGCUUUCAGCUCUGGAACUGUGGUGCAUAGAGGUAAACUGCUGAACGGUGAUUGCCUGCUCAGGACACCGUGGGCAGAGAACUGACUCAGAGGCAAAGGGCCGGGCGUCUGAUGAAACUGCUUCCCCCACAAAUCACACGUCCGCCUAUCUGCUGCCCAAAACAAGGUUGGGGUAGGUGGGUAAGGCCCACCCCGAGCAUGCUUCGUUUCCCAGUGAGAACUUCAGCUUCAGGAAACUGGCAUGAUCAACACACUGCUGGUCCAAGAUUCUUCCCCAGAGACCUUGUCUGGCUGCUUACAUCGUGGGGAACAGGAGGAAGGAAAGCAACCUUGUUUAUCUUUCCUCCAAAACAUCUUCAG
rnacentral:lncRNA from 1 species